rnacentral:rRNA from 1 species
UACAGAGGGUGCAAGCGUUAAACGGAAUUACUGGGCGUAAAGCGUGCGUAGACGGUUAUGUAAGUCAGGUGUGAAAGCCCCGGGCUCAACCUGGGAAUUGCAUUUGAGACUGCAUAGCUAGGGUGCGGAAGAGGGAAGCGGAAUUUCCGGUGUAGCGGUGAAAUGCGUAGAUAUCGGAAGGAACACCUGUGGCGAAAGCGGCGCACUGGACCACAACUGACGCUGAGGCGCGAAAGCUAGGGGAGCAAACAGG